rnacentral:rRNA from 1 species
CACGGAAUUAGCCGGUCCUUUUCUGAAGGUACAUACAAGAAGGGACAAGUCCCUUUUUUAUUCCCAACUAAAAGCAGUUUACAACCCGGGGGCCGUCAUCCUGCACGCUACUUGGCUGGUUCAGGCUCUCGCCCAUUGACCAAUAUUCCUCACUGCUGCCUCCCGUAGGAGUCUGGACCGUGUCUCAGUUCCAGUGUGGGGGACCUUCCUCUCAGAACCCCUACCGAUCGAAGGCUAGGUGGGCCGUUACCCGCCUACUACCUAAUCGGACGCAUCACCAUCUCAUACCGAUAAAUCUUGGUACUCUCCAUGCGAGAAAGCAACAACAUCGGGUAUUAAUCUUACUUUCGCAAGGCUAUCCCCGAGUAUGAGGCAGGUUUGAUACGCGUUACGCACCGUGCGCCGGUCGCCGGCGAUUGAAGACAAGCUUCAACCCGCUCGCCCUCGACUUGCGACUGUGUUAAGCCUGUUAGCGUAGCGUUCUAUCCUGUAGCCAGGAUACUAAAC